rnacentral:rRNA from 1 species
UUGGAGGGCAAGUCUGGUGCCAGCAGCCGCGGUAAUUCCAGCUCCAAUAGCGUAUAUUAAAGUUGUUGCAGUUAAAAAGCUCGUAGUUGAAUUUCGGAAUCAAUUUGUUGGUCGUGCCUCGGUACGUACUGGUAUUAUUGGUUUCUACCUUCUGAAGAACCUUGAUGUCAUUAAUUUGGUGUCUUGGGGAAUCAGGACUGUUACUUUGAAAAAAUUAGAGUGUUUAAAGCAAGCAUACGCUUGAAUACAUUAGCAUGGAAUAAUGAAAUAGGACGUUUGAUUCUAUUUUGUUGGUUUCUAGGAUCGACGUAAUGAUUAAUAGGGAUAGUUGGGGGCAUUAGUAUUCAAUUGUCAGAGGUGAAAUUCUUGGAUUUAUUGAAGACUAACUACUGCGAAAGCAUUUGCCAAGGAUGUUUUCAUUAAUCAAGAACGAAAGUUAGGGGAUCGAAGACGAUCAGAUACCGUCGUAGUCUUAACCAUAAACUAUGCCGACUAGGGAUCGGAUGAUGUUAAUUUUUUUAAUGACUCAUUCGGCGCCUUACGGGAAAC